rnacentral:rRNA from 1 species
CCUACGGGGGGCAGCAGUGGGGAAUAUUGCGCAAUGGGCGAAAGCCUGAUGCAGCGACGCCGCGUGAGGGAUGAAGGUCCUCGGAUCGUAAACCUCUGUCAGCAGGGAAGAACAGUCACUGUGCUAAUCAGCAUUGAAUUUACGGUACCUGCAAAGGAAGCCCCGUCUAACUCCGUGCCAGCAGCUGCGGUAAUACGGAGGGUGCGUGCGUUAAUCGGAAUUACUGGGCGUAAAGCGCUCGUAGGCGGUAUGUCACGUCAAGGGUGAAAUCCCCGCGCUCAACGUGGGAACUGCCUUUGAAACUGGCAAACUGGAGUGUGUGAGAGGAUAGUGGAAGUCCAGGUGUAGGAGUGAAAUCCGUAGAUAUCUGGAGGAACAUCAGUGGCGAAGGCGACUAUCUGGCACAUAACUGACGCUGAGGAGCGAAAGCGUGGGUAGCAAACAGGAUUAGAUACCCUUGUAGUC